rnacentral:lncRNA from 1 species
AUGUGGAGACAAUCAGCAGAAGUAAAAUUAAGGACAUCAAGUUUGUCAGUCAACAGUGAACCAAGAGGUCUCUCAGCCAUAUUCCAGAUGGCCUGCUAUUUUGCUGUACUUCAGUCACAUAUCAACAUACAGCAGCAAACUCCGAAAAUGACAUAAUGAAAUACAAGCAGCUUGUUCUACCAGUAUCAACCUUCAUAUCCAGUAGCUGUGACAAAGAAAGAAAUUAAACCUCAUCAAGAUGAAGUAGUGGUGAGUUUUCUUCAUAAUGUGGAUAGAUUUCAUUUAAAACUAGGUUUCCUGCUACUUUCUCCAACAGUGAAAAUAGCAUAACACAUGUAAAAAGAGCAGAAGAUGGUCAGCUGAAACCACAGUAUCUUCUAAUUUGCCUUUUGAUUUCCUUCACAAGGAAAAUAAGAAAAAUAUUAGAGAUGUUAGAUAGCAAUCUAAAUCUGAAAUGAUCAAAAACACAGCAAGUUUGUUUACCUAAAGUCCAUGUUCACACAUUUCUGAAGUAUGUUAACAUGAUUCUUCUUAGCCUUCUGGAGUUAAGUCUUCCAAAACAACACUGUGCUAUGACAGAGAAACACUUUCAAAGCAUUAUAAUGUUAUGAGCAAUAUAUAUAGUGCUUUCUAUGACAUUAUUUUAUAAAGAGACUUUAGUAGUUUUUCAUUCUCAGUUCCUCAGGGUAUAGAACUGUUAUUUUAUGCAGCUGAUACUACUUUAUUUGUUCAAUUUCCCUUAACAAAACUUUAUAAAAGAAAACAAAAGUUCUGAUACAAGAAAA